GUCAAGAGUUUUGGCACCGUUUUUGGUGAGCAAAUUUCUUUUGCCUCGAGAAAGGUGAAGAAAGAUG
rnacentral:sRNA from 1 species